UACGUAGGGGGCAAGCGUUGUCCGGAAUCAUUGGGCGUAAAGAGCGCGUAGGCGGCCCGAUAAGUCGGAUGUGAAAACUCUGGGCUCAACCCAGAGCCUGCAUCCGAAACUGGCGGGCUAGAGUUCUGGAGGGGGUAGCGGAAUUCCUGGUGUAGCGGUGAAAUGCGCAGAUAUCAGGAGGAACACCAAUGGCGAAGGCAGCUCGCUGGGACGGUACUGACGCUGAGACGCGAAAGCGUGGGGAGCAAACAGG
rnacentral:rRNA from 1 species